AUGAACGCUGGCGGCGUGCCUAAUACAUGCAAGUCGAGCGAACAGACGAGGAGCUUGCUCCUCUGACGUUAGCGGCGGACGGGUGAGUAACACGUGGAUAACCUACCUAUAAGACUGGGAUAACUUCGGGAAACCGGAGCUAAUACCGGAUAAUAUAUUGAACCGCAUGGUUCAAUAGUGAAAGACGGUUUUGCUGUCACUUAUAGAUGGAUCCGCGCCGCAUUAGCUAGUUGGUAAGGUAACGGCUUACCAAGGCAACGAUGCGUAGCCGACCUGAGAGGGUGAUCGGCCACACUGGAACUGAGACACGGUCCAGACUCCUACGGGAGGCAGCAGUAGGGAAUCUUCCGCAAUGGGCGAAAGCCUGAUGGAGCAACGCCGCGUGAGUGAUGAAGGUCUUCGGAUCGUAAAACUCUGUUAUUAGGGAAGAACAAAUGUGUAAGUAACUAUGCACGUCUUGACGGUACCUAAUCAGAAAGCCACGGCUAACUACGUG
rnacentral:rRNA from 1 species